UACGUAGGGGGCGAGCGUUGUCCGGAAUUAUUGGGCGUAAAGAGCUCGUAGGCGGUGUGUUACGUCGGCCGUGAAAACCUGCAGCUUAACUGUGGGCGUGCGGUCGAUACGGGCAUCACUGGAGUUCGGCAGGGGAGACUGGAAUUCCUGGUGUAGCGGUGAAAUGCGCAGAUAUCAGGAGGAACACCGGUGGCGAAGGCGGGUCUCUGGGCCGUAACUGACGCUGAGGAGCGAAAGCGUGGGGAGCGAACAGG
rnacentral:rRNA from 1 species